UACGGAGGGGGCUAGCGUUGUUCGGAAUUACUGGGCGUAAAGCGUGCGCAGGCGGUUUUGUAAGUCUGUUGUGAAAGCCCCGGGCUCAACCUGGGAAUUGCGAUGGAGACUGCAAGGCUAGAGUGUGUCAGAGGGGGGUGGAAUUCCACGUGUAGCAGUAAAAUGCGUAGAGAUGUGGAGGAACACCGAUGGCGAAGGCAGCCUCCUGGGCCAGCACUGACGCUCAUGCACGAAAGCGUGGGGAGCAAACAGG
rnacentral:rRNA from 1 species